rnacentral:rRNA from 1 species
GUCCACGCCGUAAACGAUAACCACUAGAUGUUGGUCUGGUUCGCCGGAUCAGUGUCGUAGCUAACGCGUUAAGUGGUUCGCCUGGGGAGUACGGUCGCAAGACUAAACUUAAGGAAUUGACGGGGUCCGCACAAGCGGUGGAACAUGUGGUUUAAUUCGACACUACGCGAGGCACCUUACCUGGGCUUGACAUACUAGUGACCGCUGUAGAAAUGCAGUUUUCUGGAUUUCGGUUCAGACACUAGAACAGGUGCUGCAUGGCUGUCGU